rnacentral:lncRNA from 1 species
AAACAAACAAGAUCUUAUCUUGGGCCUUGUUUAUAACCUAUUGUCUUUUCUACUUACCAAUUUAGGAUUGUCAUCUAUCCAUGAGAAGACAUGUUAAAGUUUGGAAUUCUGUACUGAGUCACUAUCAAAGGAAUCCCUGAUUGAGGCAAAUGCAGGUUUCUAGAGAACAGAAGUAAGCUCUUAGGUUUCCAUUUGAAAACCAUCCUGGGGAGUAAGCUCAGUUAAUGCAACUACACAGAUUUUUUCCCACUCGGCUUCCUUCCUUCUAAAUAAUAUGAUUUAUUUUCUUGUGUCACAUGUUCUUCUUUGUCUUUUAUUCAUUGUCUGGGAUUAAACCUCUCAAGUUUAAGAUUUAACCUCUCAAGAGCUACAGAAUUCACUCUAAUUUAAGAUUCAGUUAAAAUUCUCUGCCCUAGACUUAACAAUUCUCAUGUUUUGCUGCUUGUGUUUAUGUAAUGGGUGUCUUUAGCAAUGUGUAGCUUCCUAUUUCUAAGAAAAAAGAAGUUCUUUAUGAUCUUAUUUUAAAAGACCCUAAAGAGUGAACAGACAUCAAAUAGCACUCUGGUAGCUUGCAGAGUUUUGUUUAAAUGAGGUAGAACCAUGUGAACUAAAUUUAUUUUAAUAAAAACAUAAGCUUACAAAUAAAAAAAUAAUGUUUUUAUGCUUAUACCCCCAAGGAAGGCAAACUACAUUUUUAUAUGAUAAUUUUAGGCUGAUAUAACAAUAAAAAAGACUCAGAAGAUGAUAGCCAAAUAAUUAAAGACUUAAAAAAUAGUAUCUGCAGAGCAAUUGACAGAACUGUAUUCAUUGCCUUUGGUAACUGGAGGUGAGUGAUUAAAAGCAGUGACUCAACAGCAAAUGCAUUCCAUGUUGGAUAGUGAUUAGAUGUUAAACUGUGGACAAAAAUGAACUGAAAGUCUUAUAAGAAACGUAUAGCUAGUAUCCUCAAAAGGGGAAUUUUUAGGGCUGGGGAUGUGGCUCAAGCGGUAGCGCGUUCUCCUGGCAUGCAUGCGGCCUGGGUUUGAUCCUCAGCACCACAUACAAACAAAGAUGUUGUGUCUGCUAAAAACUAAAAAAUGAAUAUUAAAAUUCUCUCUCUCUCUCUCUCUCUCUCUCUCUCUCUCUCUUUUAAAAAAAGGGGGAAUUUUUAAAGGACCAAAGUCAUUUUUUUUUUUAGGAAGACAGUGAAUUUGAUGGACAGUACACUGGACUAUUUGGGAGUCAGAAGGUCUGAGUUCUAUGUGGGCACUUCCACUGACCCCUAUGCCACCCUGCUUACAUUGUGUAACUUCCUGAAUGAGAGUUUACUUGUGUUUAUAAUAAAAUGAUGGAACGAAGCAAUCACUGUUAUUUUAUUAUGAUAAGCUUUGAUCAGGGUAUUGCCUUCCUGUUCAGUGUGGCAGAGACUACGUAUUGCCUUCUCCAACAUCCAUCUUCCCAUUCUGCCUUAGAAAUAAAUCCUGAUAAUUUUAGCAUAAUUUUUCCUAGAAAAAAAGAUGACACUUCUCAGUUCUCCUGUAGCAUCGUAUGUUCAUUAACUAUAGUUGGAAGCAGACCAAUUUUUUUGCAUGGGACUUUGGAGAAGGUGGUUUAAAGGGACCUGAUUUGUCUUCAAGGGAUGUAUUUUUUUGUCUUGCUUUUUCUCCUUGAGGCACUACCUUGGAGUUGACCUUGAGAAUAGAAGUCAUUGUGUAGAUGAUGGAACCAGGACAACAGAUCUGGUCUCCCUAAUGAUGCUGCAGAGACAUCAGAUAUGUCCCAGUGUGUUUGCUUCAUGCUACCGUCACAUGAGAGAAAAAUACUUUUCUAUCUUCUUUGGGCCACUGCUAAUUAUUUUUUUCCUGUUAAACACAGCUUUAUCAGGUCUGAACUGGUGCAAUCUAUAAAAUAUGAUUACUUGUGAACUUAACACAAUUACAGCUACCAACUACCUUGUAUUUAAUAGAUGCCACUGUGAUGUUUUAUGUACAUCUUUUUAUUUAAUGUGCACAAUAAAAAUACUUACAAACUAGGUAUUAUUAUCUAUAUUUAACAAUGAAGAAAUGGAGGCUUAGAAAGAGUAUGUAGCACCAAAAAGAUCAGAUAGGUCUUAAAUGACAGAGCCUGGAUUCCAAAGCAGGUUGGGAUGACUCCAAAAUUUGUUCUCUCAAUCACUAUCAUCAAUUUAAUGCUUUCAGUAUUCCCUGUGGGUAAAAGAUGGUGUUCUUGACUCACACAUGAUUUAUAAAAUGCACAAGGAGCACAGAGUAAGCUAAUAUUUCUAGAGAACCUUGUGGGAUUGUCAAGAUGCAGACAGCAAUAAGUUCCAUCUGCUCCCUGAACAAGAUUGGUAGCUAACACCCAGCUUGCCUAUUGUAACAGAGAUAGUGAUAACUAUCUGAAAACUAUACCUAGGUUAGCAAGCACUUUACUUUCAUAUGAAAUUUGUAAAGUGAAAAUAAUAUUAUUUGAUAUUAAAGACUGUGUUGAGUAUAAGUAUAUAUAUAUAUAUAUAUAUAUAUAUAUAUAUAUAUAUAUAUAUACACUUAGAGAGAGAGAGAGAGAGAGAGAGAUGUAUAAUGCAUGAUACUAGGUAUACAAUAAGUGCUCAAUAAAUGAUACCCAAGUGUAUUAUUUAAAGGAUCCAGAGUGAUAUGAAUAAAACUAGGUUGAAAGAGAACCUGUGGUACUUGCUGGCUAUGUAAACAUAGUUGCCAUUUCAUUUCUCAGAAUUUCAUUUUCUAAGAAAGAAGUUCUUUAUUUUACAGAAUUGUAGCUAAAGAUAAUGUCUUUCAAGUCCCCUUUAAAGAUAAUGUCUUUAAGACAUAAGUCCCCUGUGUAGUGUCUGACAUGUUUUAGAAUCCCAGCCAAUGGAAAUAGUAAUAUUAUCAUUGUUACAGUUCCCACAGGAUUCUACCCAACAUGUUUGCCAAUAGUUACUUUCUCCUUGGCCUUUCAGCACACAUGGGGGGAGUGUGGCUGAACUACUGCAAUGUGUGCCUCUGUUUAAACAGGAAUGUGGGAUGUACUGGUCAGAGGCAGCCCACUGCAUUACACAGGGCAGGAGGCAGCACUGUGGCCAUUCCAUUGGUCUUGCCAAAUUGCCUUGGAAUUCUAAUUUCUUUCCUCUAAUUUAUAUUUCUGUAUAUGCUUGGUCUCCUUUUUGCUUUCAGACCGUAGCCAAGGUCAUUCUAACCUCAGGAGGACAGGAUGAUCGUUCACCACAUACUGAAAACAGAGGGCAUAAUUGUUGUGGUAGAGAUGCCGCAGGACAGAUGUUAUUCUACAUAGUGGGUAUUCCACAUGAGAAUAUAUUCAUGUAUCUAUUCAUCAUUCUCUUGGCAGAUUUUCACUCUUUUGACAACCUUGUUUCAAAUAACACAAUCAAAUAACACAAUAAUACAGGGUGAAAAAAAAAAGGGUUUUCUUGUACCACUAUCACGUAUUUAAUUGUGACACUAACAAUUUAUCUAAAACUUUAUGAAAGUUGUUUUCAAUUUUUAGGAGCUGGCAACAUUCAAAGUGUUAUGCAAAGUUUUCAGCUCAUAGAUGUGUUUUUCUAUCCUCUACCUCCUUCCUUCUCUAUGUCAAAUUUUCUUUUGGGUUAAAGUAAUCAUAUUCAAUUUCCAUUUUAAAGUCUCCAGUUUUGCUCCUAUCCCUCAUGGGAAAGGGUGUCUGUAAACACCCACUGCUAAAUGCCUAGUGAUAACGGGAAAUCAGCGUGGAAGGAAGAAAGGUGCUCACUGCCUCUAAUGUCAUAUGUCACAGUUCUCCACCUUCCAUCUUUUGCCUCAGGCAAGGAAUGCUUUGCCCAUGAGUGGGACAGAGGUAAGAACAUCUGAGUAAUCCACAAUAGACCGUCUGCAAUAAUCUUCCCAGGUGACAGAAUAAACAUUUAGUCUGACAUUACAUCACUUUUCAAAGAGGUGAGCCCUUUAAUAUCUCUGAUAUUUUUAAAACUCUGAAAUAAAAUUAAGCUGUUGAUGCAUGCAAGCAUGUUUAGGCAAGAACUAGCUCUCCUUUCAAAAAGGAAGGUGUUUUCAGAAAGGUGUGUGUGUGCUGGUGGUGGUGAGAUGAACUCUUAAUUUGUUGUUUUGAAAUCAAGGCCAAUGUUUGUUGAUGAUAAGAUAUGUGUGAAUCUGACUUAGAAAAGAUGUAAAGAAUUUGAUGGUUAAACUGUGCUUCUGUUCUUUUUAAAAAAUAUCCGCAUUCUUCAAAGGAAAAUAUCAUUCUAUUUAGGUUUUGUAGAAAAGCGUUUCAGAAGACCAGCCUUACUUGAAUAUUUCUUCCUCUCUGCUUCAAUUACCAAUAAAUUAGAAUUACCCGUUCUGCCCUGCAAGGAUGACAGCAUCAAUGGCAGUGAUGUUAGCUUAAACUAAUAAGGCAAGCAGGGCCACUAGACAACAGGGCCCUUAGAGUUCAAACCUUGCUCACCGUGUUCAAUUCAACACCUGCCACUGUUUCUAAGUGUGUAUUGUCAUGCCUCUGAUUACUUCUUCCUUUGAGCUCCCAUAGCAAUUUGUACAUAACAGUAUUGUAGAAUUUAUCAAAUUGCUUUGUAACUAGCUGUUUGUGUGUCUUCAAUGCAUAUAAUUUUUGACGACAAGGAAUACUAUUUCAGUAAUUAUUUUUUUUGUCUCCAAUGACUAGAAUAGUGCUGAGUACAUAGUAGGAAUUCAAUAAAUUUCUGUCGAAUGAAUGAAAGCUCUUCAGGCCAUGGCAAUCACUAGCAGACAAAGACUGCUAGUGAUUGCCAUGGGUAUAAUCAUAUGAACAACCCAUCUUUUGGAAAAUGGUGAAAAUUCUCCAACCAUAAUGGAGUAUAGCAACUGACAUUCUUUGAUAGAGGAGAUUUUAAUUCAUUAGUGUGAUAUGGAGGUGUGUGUUAUAUCCAAAAUUUAGAUGGGGAUGUGGUGGCCUGGCUCACUCUGGGUUGAUAUCAGAUAGUUUUUUCUUCAUUUCAUCCUUUCCCACCUUUCCCCUGGGUGCCUGUUAUAGGUGUAGGGUGCAGGGUUGCACUGCCAAGGACCACCUCUAAUUUGAGCACAGAUCACCAUCCCUUGAUUUCUAUAAUCUGUUCCAUCAAGCACAUGAUGGUAUCUUUCUGAAUCUCUGUUUCCACGCCUAGAUCUUUAAGAAAUGCAGUACUUUAGGAGUUGCAUUGCUUCAUGGAGAUAUGACUCAGUGUAAGACAGGAUUGCUGGUGGCUACUGCUGGCAAAGUGCCUGCCCAGGGAGAGUCUACAGCUUACUGAGUGAGCCCAGACUCUGCUCUCCUGAGUCAACUUGGUCUAGGCAAACAAAUGGAAGGCAUAGGUGUAUUGGAAGCUGUGGGGAUCAUGUGUGUCUCCUUAGGACAGAGACACUUAUUUUCCCAGCUUCUAAAAGGUUGGCAGCCAAAGUGUUUGUUGGCCAGGCUCUUAGACAAGUGCUUCACAAUUCAACUCUUUCAGCCACCCAAUUCCAUUUCUUUUAAUUCUCCCUGGGUAUUGAUUUAUAAGGGACCUCCCAUUAAAAUUCCUGCAUGAAAAUCUCCAUCUUGAAUCUGUUUCCGAAAAGCCCAGUUGUGGGCUGGGAUUGUAGCUCAGUGGUAGAGUGCUUGCCUAGCAUGUGUGAGGUACUGGGUUCAAUCCUUAGCACCACAUAAAAAUAAAUAGAUAAAAUAGAGGUAUUGUGUCCAUCUACAACUAAAAAUAUUAGAAGAAAAGGAAGAAGAGGAAGAGGAAGAAGAAGAAGGAGGAGGAGGAGGAGGAGGAAGGAGGAGGAACCACUUGUGAUGGGGGACGUAGAUUGUCAACUUGAUUGGGUUGAGAGAUACCUAGAAUUAAGAGACUUCAGGGUAUGUCUAUGAGGGCGUUUCCAGAGAUGACUAGCAUGUAGGACAGCAAACUGAGUGGAGAGAUCCUCUCUGAAUAUGUGUGGUACAGUCCAAUAGGUUGGGGACCCAGAUGUAAUAAAAGGUGGAAGAAGGAGAAAGCAGAAGCUUAUGGAAGCUUGAUUUUUCUUCAGGGCAUAUGUAUUUUGUCACUGCCAUCACCCAAGGACAUUGGUCUCCAACUCCUUCAGUCUUCCAAUGUGAACUCUGAACAGUGAUUCUCCAGGGAGUUCCCAGGCCUUCAGUCUCUGACGGGGGCUGCAUAAUUGGUCCCUAUUGUUCUGACGCUCCUGACUUCUUGGACUGAGCAGUUGCUGGUCCCAUUAGCUCUCUGGUGUGCAGAUGGCCAUUGUGGGACUACCCAGUUUCUAAUGGUGUAAGCCAAUCAAAUAAAUCUCCUUUUAUAAGCAUUACAUAUACAUGUCCUAUUAGUUUUGUUCCUCUAGAGAACUCUGACUAAAACAUUUCAAAACAGGUAGCAACAACUCUAACACAUUUGCGUACCUAAACUUAAUAAAUGAAGAAGGGAAGGAGGGAAGGAAUGAGAUUGACAUCCUCCAGAUUUCUGGCAGCUAGUUCUGCAGGCACAAGUUUAUUCUAGGGACACUGAACCUUCCAGUCUUAAAUGGAGGGCAGGACUCUGACAUCAGCUUUAGCCUAAGUCCUACUCUCCUGUAGGCUAAAGUCAUUUAUUCAUGACAACAGGGAACUUCCUUAACAAAGGCCCAUAAAAUCUUCAUAGAAACCCAGAUCUAAAGAAGGAAGGAAAAAGCAUACAUCACUUGGAGAAUGAACAAUAGGUUACUGAAUGAUCAAUGGGUUAUAGAAGACAUCAAGGAGGAAAUUAAAAAAUUCUUAGAGAUAAAUGAAAACACAGACACAACAUAUCGGAAUCUAUGGGACAUAUUGAAAGCAGUUUUAAGAGGAAAAUUCAUUGCUUGGAGUUCAUUCCUUAAAAAAAGAAAAAACCAACAAAUAAAUGAUCUCAUACUUCAUCUCAAAAUCCUUGAAAAAGAAGAGCAAAACAACAGCAAAAGAAGUAGAAGGCAAGAAAUAAUGAAAAUCAGAGCUGAAAUUAAUGAAAUCGAAACAAAAGAAACAAUUGAAAAAAUUGACAAAACUAAAAGUUGGUUCUUUGAAAAAAUAAACAAAAUCGACAGACCCUUAGCCAUGCUAGUUGAGUG